AAUAUAACAACUAUCAAGAAAGAUAUUGCAGCAAUAGAUAAAAUAACAUUUCAUUAGGCCAAUUUCAGGUCCAUUGAAUUUUCUGUUAUUAUUUUACAGGGCUGGAUUUGAUCUUUUGUGGUGCUGAGUCCAACUGCCUUGACUCCCCUCCCUUAUUAACUUCUUGAAGAAAAAAGGUCCCCUACUGUCCUCCAGCGCUGUCCCUCCAGGCCUCAGGAGCAUUACAGUGCACACCGGCACUGGGAUGUUCAAGGUAGUGAGGAUAUCUUUAUUGGGCCAUCUGGACUUACUAGAACAUUGAAAGGUUUUAAACCAUGCUGCUCUAUUUGUCCCUCUUGUUGCCAUGUAGGAAACCUACAGAAAAAUGAGUACACCACUGAGAAACUGCUU